AGAGCGAACGCUGGCGGCAGGCCUAAUACAUGCAAGUCGAACGGACCCUUCGGGGUUAGUGGCGGACGGGUGAGUAACACGUGGGAACGUGCCCUUUGGUUCGGAACAACUCAGGGAAACUUGAGCUAAUACCGAAUGUGCCCCCAUCCUUAAACAAGAUGGGUGGGAAAGAUUUAUCGCCAUUGGAGCGGCCCGCGUCUGAUUAGCUAGUUGGUGGGGUAAAGGCUCACCAAGGCGACGAUCAGUAGCUGGUCUGAGAGGAUGAUCAGCCACACUGGGACUGAGACACGGCCCAGACUCCUACGGGAGGCAGCAGUAGGGAAUCUUGCGCAAUGGGCGAAAGCCUGACGCAGCCAUGCCGCGUGAAUGAUGAAGGUCUUAGGAUUGUAAAAUUCUUUCAGCGGGGACGAUAAUGACGGUACCCGCAGAAGAAGCCCGGCUAACUUCGUGCCAGCAGCCGC
rnacentral:rRNA from 1 species